UCUAAACGACUCUCGGCAACGGAUAUCUCGGCUCUCGCAUCGAUGAAGAACGUAGCGAAAUGCGAUACUUGGUGUGAAUUGCAGAAUCCCGUGAACCAUCGAGUCUUUGAACGCAAGUUGCGCCCGAAACCAUUCGGUUGAAGGCACGUCUGCCUGGGCGUCACGC
rnacentral:rRNA from 1 species